AAAAGUUUUGUACAGACUGCUGAGGUUGACGUCAUGUGGUUGCUGGAGGAAGAAAAGAGAAUUAUGGCUCUGGUGAAGAGCACUGGUGAUUACUUCCAUGGGAAUGCAGGGAAGGAUGAAGGCUUACGUCUGUUUGUUAUUGUGCGGGACUUCUUGAUCAUCUUAGAUAAGGUGUGCAAGCAGGUGGGAGAGGCACAAAAGAGGUCAGAAAAAGAGGUCAGAAAAAUUACUGAAAAAAGAGUCAUCAACUGCAUCAUCCAACUCUUCAACCAGCCAACAACCUUCUCCUGAUUUUCGAACCCGGCUAUUUCCAGCAAUUCAAGAGCGAAAGAUUGAAAAUUCUAGUUCAGAUGAUGAGAAUGGAUAAGCUCCAUUUGGAAUAGGUCGCUUAUAGGAUGAAAGUUGUCUUCCAUAGAUGUCUUCUGCAUUUUCUGAAAGGAAGGGAUCAAUGAAAAGUAAGCAAUUGUGCUCAUCCAGGCUAAAUUUCACUAGGGUCAUUAGUGGAGCAAACAUCAAAAUAUCUUUGACCAGAUUCCCGGGGG
rnacentral:misc_RNA from 1 species